GAAGUGCGAACCAAGCGUCGGUGCAAACCGUGUAAGUCUUGGAGCGGAUAGUCGCAAGACUGUCCUGCA
rnacentral:sRNA from 12 species